GCGGUGGUAGUUCAGUUGGUAGAACAACACAUUGCCAAUGUGUAGGUCGAGGGUUCGAGCCCCUUCCACCGCUCCA
rnacentral:tRNA from 1 species